rnacentral:rRNA from 1 species
GUCGAGGGGCAGCGGGGAGCAAGCUUGCUUGCUCUGCCGGCGACCGGCGCACGGGUGAGUAACACGUAUGCAACCUGCCCUCCGCAGGGGGAUAACCCGGAGAAAUCCGGACUAAUACCGCGUGGUACACCUGUGGGGCAUCCCACGGGUGUUAAAAGGAAGUGAUUCCGGCGGAGGAUGGGCAUGCGGCGCAUUAGCUUGUUGGCGGGGUAACGGCCCACCAAGGCUACGAUGCGUAGGGGUUCUGAGAGGAAGGUCCCCCACACUGGUACUGAGACACGGACCAGACUCCUACGGGAGGCAGCAGUGAGGAAUAUUGGUCAAUGGGCGGGAGCCUGAACCAGCCAAGUCGCGUGAGGGAAGACGGUCCUAUGGAUUGUAAACCUCUUUAGGCGGGGAGCAAUGCCGGGCACGCGUGCCCGGAGGGAGAGUACCCGCAGAAUAAGCAUCGGCUAACUCCGUGCCAGCAGCCGCGGUAAUACGGAGGAUGCGAGCGUUAUCCGGAUUUAUUGGGUUUAAAGGGUGCGUAGGCGGAUUUUUAAGUCAGCGGUAAAAUGUCCGGGCUCAACCCGGGCCGGCCGUUGAAACUGGGGAUCUUGAGUGGGCGAGAAGUAUGCGGAAUGCGUGGUGUAGCGGUGAAAUGCAUAGAUAUCACGCAGAACUCCGAUUGCGAAGGCAGCAUACCGGCGCCCGACUGACGCUGAGGCACGAAAGCGUGGGGAUCGAACAGGAUUAGAUACCCUGGUAGUCCACGCAGUAAACGAUGAAUGCUAGUUGUCCGGUUCUUUGGGACU